UACGGAGGAUCCAAGCGUUAUCCGGAUUUAUUGGGUUUAAAGGGUGCGUAGGUGGGAUAAUAAGUCAGAGGUGAAAGCUAGCAGCUUAACUGUUAAAUUGCCUUUGAUACUGUUAUUCUUGAGUAUAGUUGGCGUUGGCGGAAUGUGACAUGUAGCGGUGAAAUGCGUAGAUAUGUCACAGAACACCGAUCGCGAAGGCAGCUAACGAAGCUAUGACUGACACUGAUGCACGAAAGCUAGGGGAGCGAAUGGG
rnacentral:rRNA from 1 species